rnacentral:rRNA from 1 species
AUGCGAGUCAUUGUAGCAAUACAAGGCAGACGGCUCAGUAACGCGUAGUCAACCUACCCUAUGGACGGGAAUAACCUCGGGAAACUGAGAAUAAUGCCCGAUAGAACAUUAUGCCUGGAAGGGUUUAUGUUCCAAAUGAUUUAUCGCCGUAGGAUGGGACUGCGGCCUAUCAGUUUGUUGGUGAGGUAAUGGCCCACCAAGACUAUUACAGGUACGGGCUCUGAGAGGAGUGGCCCGGAGAUGGGUACUGAGACACGGACCCAGGCCCUAUGGGGCGCAGCAGGCGAGAAAACUUUGCAAUGUGCGAAAGCACGACAAGGUUAAUCCGAGUGGUUUAUGCUAAAUGAACCUUUUGUUAGUCUUAGAAACACUAACGAAUAAGGGGUGGGCAAGUUCUGGUGUCAGCCGCCGCGGUAAAACCAGCACCUCAAGUGGUCAGGAUGAUUAUUGGGCCUAAAGCAUCCGUAGCCGGCUCUGUAAGUUUUCGGUUAAAUCUGUACGCUCAACGUACAGGCUGCCGGGAAUACUGCAGAGCUAGGGAGUGGGAGAGGUAGACGGUACUCGGGAGGAAGUGGUAAAAUGCUUUGAUCUCUCGAUGACCACCUGUGGCGAAGGCGGUCUACCAGAACACGUCCGACGGUGAGGGAUGAAAGCUGGGGGAGCAAACCGGAUUAGAUACCCGGGUAGUCCCAGCUGUAAACUAUGCAAACUCAGUGAUGCGUUGGCUUGUGGCCAAUGCAGUGUUGCAGGAAAGCCGUUAAGUUUGCCGCCUGGAAG